rnacentral:rRNA from 1 species
UACGUAGGGACCAAGCGUUGUUCGGAUUUACUGGGCGUAAAGGGCGCGUAGGCGGCCUGCUAAGUCACACGUGAAAUCCCUCGGCUCAACCGGGGAACUGCGUGUGAUACUGUCGGGCUUGAGUACGGAAGAGGCGAGUGGAAUUCCUGGUGUAGCGGUGAAAUGCGCAGAUAUCAGGAGGAACACCAAUGCGAAGGCAGCUCGCUGGGACGUUGACUGACGCUGAGACGCGAAAGCGUGGGGAGCAAACAGG